rnacentral:rRNA from 1 species
ACGUGGUAUCCUGUCUGAAUAUGGGGGGACCAUCCUCCAAGGCUAAAUACUCCUGACUGACCGAUAGUGAACCAGUACCGUGAGGGAAAGGCGAAAAGAACCCCGGCGAGGGGAGUGAAAAAGAACCUGAAACCGUGUACGUACAAGCAGUGGGAGCACAGGUUUACCUGUGUGACUGCGUACCUUUUGUAUAAUGGGUCAGCGACUUAUAUUCUGUAGCAAGGUUAACCGUAUAGGGGAGCCGAAGGGAAACCGAGUCUUAACCGGGCGUUAAGUUGCAGGGUAUAGACCCGAAACCCGGUGAUCUAGCCAUGGGCAGGUUGAAGGUUGGGUAACACUAACUGGAGGACCGAACCGACUAAUGUUGAAAAAUUAGCGGAUGACCUGUGGCUGGGGGUGAAAGGCCAAUCAAACCGGGAGAUAGCUGGUUCUCCCCGAAAGCUAUUUAGGUAGCGCCUCGUGAAUUCAUCUCCGGGGGUAGAGCACUGUUUCGGCUAGGGGGCCAUCCCGGCUUACCAACCCGAUGCAAACUGCGAAUACCGGAGAAUGUUAUCACGGGAGACACACGGCGGGUGCUAACGUCCGUCGUGAAGAGGGAAACAACCCAGACCGCCAGCUAAGGUCCCAAAGUCAUGGUUAAGUGGGAAACGAUGUGGGAAGGCCCAGACAGCCAGGAUGUUGGCUUAGAAGCAGCCAUCAUUUAAAGAAAGCGUAAUAGCUCACUGGUCGAGUCGGCCUGCGCGGAAGAUGUAACGGGGCUAAACCAUGCACCGAAGCUGCGGCAGCGACACUGUGUGUUGUUGGGUAGGGGAGCGUUCUGUAAGCCUGUGAAGGUGUGUCGUGAGGCAUGCUGGAGGUAUCAGAAGUGCGAAUGCUGACAUAAGUAACGAUAAAGCGGGUGAAAAGCCCGCUCGCCGGAAGACCAAGGGUUCCUGUCCAACGUUAAUCGGGGCAGGGUGAGUCGACCCCUAAGGCGAGGCCGAAAGGCGUAGUCGAUGGGAAACGGGUUAAUAUUCCCGUACUUGGUGUUACUGCGAAGGGGGGACGGAGAAGGCUAUGUUGGCCGGGCGACGGUUGUCCCGGUUUAAGCGUGUAGGUGUGUGUUCCAGGUAAAUCCGGUU